UAAACUAGGAUUAGAUACCCUAUUAUUAAAAAUGUAAURAAUAUAACUUGAUUAUUAUUAGAGAUGAUCUUUAAAUUCAAAGAAUUUGGCGGUAAUUUAUCUUAUCAGAGGAACCUGUUUUAUAAUUGAUAAUCCACGAUAGAAAAAACUUUAAUUCAACUUGUAUAUCUCUGUCAAGAAUGUUUUAUAAGAAAAAUUUUCAUUUAUAUAUUAUUAUAUAUAGAAUGUCAGGUCAAGGUGCAGUUUAUAUUAAAGAAAAAAUGGGUUACAAUUAAAUCUAUAAUAAAUUAUUUUUUAUAAUAAAAAUAUGAAAUUGGAUUUGAUAGUAAAUUAAUUAAAUUUAAUUGAUUGAAAUUAGCUCUAAGUUAUGUACAUAUCGCCCG
rnacentral:rRNA from 1 species